rnacentral:rRNA from 1 species
UACGGAGGGUGCAAGCGUUGUUCGGAUUUACUGGGCGUAAAGCGCGCGCAGGUGGGUGUGCAAGUCGGAAGUGAAAUCUCGAGGCUCAACCUCGAGGCUGCUCCCGAAACUGCUCGCCUAGGGACUGGUAGAGGCUGGUAGAAUUCCCGGUGUAGCGGUGGAAUGCGUAGAGAUCGGGAAGAACACCAAUGGCGAAAGCGACUUCCUGGCCCGCUACUGACGCUGAGGCGCGAAAGCCAGGGGAGCGAACGGG